rnacentral:rRNA from 1 species
UCUACGGGAGGCAGCAGUGAGGAAUAUUGGUCAAUGGACGAGAGUCUGAACCAGCCAAGUAGCGUGAAGGAUGACUGCCCUAUGGGUUGUAAACUUCUUUUAUAUGGGAAUAAAAUGUUCCACGUGUGGGAUUUUGUAUGUACCAUAUGAAUAAGGAUCGGCUAACUCAGUGCCAGCAGCCGCGGUAAUACGGAGGAUCCGAGCGUUAUCCGGAUUUAUUGGGUUUAAAGGGAGCGUAGGUGGGUUGUUAAGUCAGUUGUGAAAGUUUGCGGCUCAACCGUAAAAUUGCAGUUGAAACUGGCAGUCUAGAGUACAGUAGAGGUGGGCGGAAUUCGUGGUGUAGCGGUGAAAUGCUUAGAUAUCACGAAGAACUCCGAUUGCGAAGGCAGCUCACUGGACUGCAACUGACACUGAGGCUCGAAAGUGUGGGUAUCAAACAGGAUUAGAUACCCGGGUAGUC